GGCCUGGUAGCCAAGUAGUAAGGCAUUCCUCUGCAAAAGGAAUAUACGUGGGUGCGAUUCCCACCCAGGCCUCCC
rnacentral:tRNA from 3 species